ensembl:snRNA U6 U6 spliceosomal RNA
CUGUUGAUUGCACUUGCUUUGGCAGCACAUAUACAAUACAGAGAAGAUUAGCAUGACCCCUGCUCAAGGAUGACAUGCAAAUUCAUGAAGCGUUCCAUAUUUUU